GGGUGAAGAAGGCGGGGCGAAGAAGAUCGCCUCCAAUCAGAGGCGAAGAAGGGGACAUCCUCGGCUCCCCCCCCGCGCCCCUCAGACGCCGACUAUAAGAGGCCCCGCCCGGGUUUCUCAGUGUGCAGCGGGCCGAGCUUAGAGUCGGGGAAGGAGGCUGAACCUCCAAGUGCCCCCUUCACCCUCGGCGCCAGGAGGUGAGGAGAAGCACCAGAGGAGGCGGGAGGAGGAGGAGACUUACAGGUCCUGACCACCCCUGCACCAACUGGACCAAACUGGCCACGGAGAGCACAGCGGCAGAGGUGACAAGCCAGAUGAUACCUCCAGGAGGGAUGCAGUCAAGGGAGCUGCCCCGACGCGGAAGAGGAAGGAGCGAUGGGGGGAUCGAGCCGCCCUGUGGAGACCAGGACACCCUGAGAGAAGAUGGGAGUUGACCAGUCCAUCUGAAAAGAACGGAUAAGUAUCUCCUCAUGGACCAACCCACAGCAACCCAGAAACAUUGGCUGCUAGUAGCGAAUGAUUUGAACCUAGAGACGUCUCUUGCACGUUUUUCGAUUCCAGAUGAAACGGUCUUUGGACCUUUCCUCACAGAAUAUUUCCCCAAUCCAUUUUCCGGGGAAAGAACUCUGGUCAGGAUGUUGCUUUUACCCCUUAAAAUUCAGUCAGAGGAGAGGCGGGAGGUACGGGGAGCCUUUAGUUAUGAAGAAAUAAUAAGGAAAAUAAAAAGAGAGAUUAAAUAGGUAGCACUGCUAGGAAAUGUAAAAAUAGAGGAAAUAACAGAACCGUACUGUGGAUUUCCAAGGGAAAUUUACCUCACGGUUCCUUAAAAAGAAUGAAUAAAAUGCCUUGAGGCAAGGCUCCCUGAUUUAGGGCAGUUCACUCUCCGGACUAUUGGGAUCGGGUUCAUACUCUAGGUGAGGAGGUUUGGAAUAGUGCAAAAAGAGAUAAGAGCAAAUGCUUACACGUAUCCCUUUCACGCUGUGAUUGGGGAAUGAGGUCUGGAAAAGAAUUCCUGCUCUCCCUACUGAAGACUGUGGUGUGGUCUGUGCUCAAACCCCAGUUGAUAUGUUUCAGAGCCUCGACCUGCCUAUUUCUGGAGCACCUCAUCCAGCAGGCAUCCGGACAGGUAGGCAGAGCUGCGGGCUCAGACAUCAGCAGAAGCCGACCCGAGGGAGGUUGGGAAGGACUGGAUGGAAAGAUGCUGGCGGCAGCAGAGGGAUGAAACCAGGAGGGAUGGAUUUGGGGGUGGGAGGAGUGAGUUGUAGAGUUAUUUCUGGGCUCUCCAGAGGGAAGAGUCAGUUGGGAGAACUGGGGGCAGGCUCGCCAUCCCAUGCCACAGGUUGGAGUCCUUGCCUGUGUAACAGCUUUCUAUCUCAAGGUCCGAUGAUCCGUUAAAGAAAGAAAUGCCAGACAGUCACGCAUGCCCCACGGCGUGCCCCUCCUGAAGGACUUCAAGGCCCUUCCCAAGGUUUGACAUCUGUGCAGAUCAGGGGGGCUGCUACUCUGGGCUGGAUCUCCCCUGUUGGAAAACACCUGGAGGAGCAGAGGAUUUUUGUUCCCCACUUAGAGCAAAGAGAGAAUCGGCGUUCGUAGAUCCGGAGGGGGAAAAUCAGGCGAAGGUGCCGCGGACCAAGAAGGACAAUACCCAACGCAACCGCGACGUCCGUCGGAG